rnacentral:rRNA from 1 species
AUUGAACGCUGGCGGCAGGCCUAACACAUGCAAGUCGAGCGGAGCGGCGGACGGGUGGGUAAUGCCUAGGAAUCCGCCUGGCAGUGGGGGAUAACGUCCGGCAACGGGCGCUAAUACCGCACACUAUCAGAAGCGCAUAGGUGGGAUUAGCUAGCUGGUGGGGUAAAGGCCUACCAAGGCGACGAUCCGUAACUGGUCUGAGAGGAUGAUCAGGCACACUGGAACUGAGACACGGUCCAGACUCCUACGGGAGGCAGCAGUGGGGAAGAUUGGACAAUGGGCGAAAGCCUGAUCCAGCCAUGCCGCGUGUGUGAAGAAGGUCUUCGGAUUGUAAAGCACUUUAAGUUGGGAGGCGGUACCAACAGAAUAAGCACCGGCUAACUUCGUGCCAGCAGCCGCGGUAAUUC